rnacentral:rRNA from 2 species
UGAAGGUUGGGUAACACUAACUGGAGGACCGAACCGACUAAUGUUGAAAAAUUAGCGGAUGACCUGUGGCUGGGGGUGAAAGGCCAAUCAAACCGGGAGAUAGCUGGUUCUCCCCGAAAGCUAUUUAGGUAGCGCCUCGUGAAUUCAUCUCCGGGGGUAGAGCACUGUUUCGGCUAGGGGGCCAUCCCGGCUUACCAACCCGAUGCAAACUGCGAAUACCGGAGAAUGUUAUCACGGGAGACACACGGCGGGUGCUAACGUCCGUCGUGAAGAGGGAAACAACCCAGACCGCCAGCUAAGGUCCCAAAGUCAUGGUUAAGUGGGAAACGAUGUGGGAAGGCCCAGACAGCCAGGAUGUUGGCUUAGAAGCAGCCAUCAUUUAAAGAAAGCGUAAUAGCUCACUGGUCGAGUCGGCCUGCGCGGAAGAUGUAACGGGGCUAAACCAU